UAAGGAAUAUUGGUCAAUGGGCGCAAGCCUGAACCAGCCAUGCCGCGUGAAGGAUGACGGCCCUAUGGGUUGUAAACUUCUUUUGUACGGGAAUAAACCCAGAUACGUGUAUCUGGCUGAAUGUACCGUAAGAAUAAGGAUCGGCUAACUCCGUGCCAGCAGCCGCGGUAAUACGGAGGAUCCAAGCGUUAUCCGGAUUCAUUGGGUUUAAAGGGUGCGUAGGCGGAUUUGUAAGUCAGUGGUGAAAUCCUGCAGCUUAACUGUAGAACUGCCAUUGAUACUGCAAGUCUUGAGUGUGUUUGAAGUGGGCGGAAUGUGUCAUGUAGCGGUGAAAUGCUUAGAUAUGACACAGAACACCGAUUGCGUAGGCAGCUCACUAAACCACAACUGACGCUGAGGCACGACAGCGUGGGGAUCAAACA
rnacentral:rRNA from 1 species